AAGAUCAUACUUCACAGGAUCAUUUCUGUAGUAUAUCUUACUCCGUUCUAAACCAACGGACAAAUUGAUGCAGCCACGAUGAGGAGACGCGGCACCUUUCCCUGAGCGUGAGGCAGACUCGGGAGAUUGACUUUGCUUUCAAUCUCUCGGUCAUCGAUGAUCGUUCGCCCCUUGCACUUAGUGCAAGGGUGAUGGGAAAGGUGCGUUCUGAGUGGU
rfam:Melipona quadrifasciata isolate 0111107301 unplaced genomic scaffold scaffold101, whole genome shotgun sequence.